rnacentral:rRNA from 1 species
UACGGGGGGGGCAAGCGUUGUUCGGAAUUACUGGGCGUAAAGGGCUCGUAGGUGGCCAACUAAGUCAGACGUGAAAUCCCUCAGCUUAACUGGGGAACUGCGUCUGAUACUGGAUGGCUUGAGUUUGGGAGAGGGAUGCGGAAUUCCAGGUGUAGCGGUGAAAUGCGUAGAUAUCAGGAGGAACACCGGUGGCGAAGGCGGAUCUCUGGACCAGUUCUGACACUGAUGAGCGAAAGCCAGGGGAGCAAACAGG